CGCGGCGCGGUCCCGCAGGGGGCGCUGCGGCUCGGGGCGGCGGCGGCGGCGGGCGCGGGCGGCGGGCGCUGCUGGGCGGCUGCGCCCCGCCGCUAUAUAAACACGGCCCGCGCCCGCCCCUCCGUCCUGCCGGCGGGAGGAGGUGGCAGCACCAGCACCGGCGGCGGCGCGGAGGCAGAUUUCCAUCCUGGGACUGCCUUCUAGGGCGAACUAUCACCAAUGGAAGUAAAAUUUGUUUUUCUAGCAUUUGGGCUUCUCUUCAGAUGGAGAGCUAG
rnacentral:lncRNA from 1 species